UAAAUUUAUAGUUAAAAUGGAUUUGUUAUUAAUAUCCUUAUAAUUAUUUAGAAAUAUUAUAUAUUAAAUAAACUAAUGUAAACAAUAAAAAAAUUAUUUGAAUAUAUGGACCUAGACUUCUAGUAUGACUAUUUUGUAGUAGAUAAAAACGGUAUUUCUCUUUUAAUAUUGAAGAUAGAUAAGUAUUGAGAAAGGGAACAGGAGACAAAAAUUCUCCAAUAUAUAUUAAGAUCAAGUGGAUGCGCCCAUAACUGCUGAAUAUGUAUAUUUGUUUCUAGAGAAUAAUGAGAUUGAGGGCUGAAUCCUUCUCCAGAGUAUAUAUACCCCACUUAACGAUCCAUUUGUACUAUAGUACAGUUUAAUAUGUUUUUCUAAAAACGUGUAUAUUAAAAAACUCAAUGGAAAACACAAUUUCAUUGGAUAGUAAAUGACAUUCCAAAUUGAUAAUUUAUAAUUUUAAUAGAAACGAAUAGAUCAACAUUGUAUCUGUAAAGUUUGUUUAUGACACGGUAGUUGUAUGAAAAUAGUUGUAUAUUUUGUUAUAUCUUUUGAUAAUACCAAAUAAUACAACAGAAAAAAGCCAAAACAAUGAACACAGAUACGGAGAUCAGUCUUUCAUCACCAACGAAGCUUAUACAGUAGUUUUGAUUUUACCAUUCGAAAAAAAUCUUUUGUUCCAUUGGAAUAUAAGUUUUAUUAAAAUGUUUGAAACGUACCACUAUAAUCUCUCUAAGCAAUAUGACAAUGAGGAGUGUUCUUCUCCACAUUGACAAGCCAACGGAAACAAAUCAGAUAGAUAUCUUCCUGAUUUCCUUUUUCAACAUUCUUCUUGAUUUCUUGAAGUGAAUGUAUAAAAAGAAUCGGUAUUGGCCUACCUAGCUCUAGCCAAAUGUGUACAACGUAUUAAAUGAAAAUAUUUUAAGAAUAAAGAGGGUAAGAAACAAUUAUUUUCAGGCUGUAAUGGACCUAUGGGAUAACUUGUGUGCUCAUAUUAUAUUUGUAUAAUCAUUGAGUUGUAUGAAAAAAUGUUUCUCUGAGUAAAUGGUCUCCAAGCAAUCGAGUGCUUCUAGAAACAUCAUUUUGACAUAAAAUAGGCUAAGACUUGGUCGCUUCAUCGGUUAACCCAUUCAUAAGUUUGCUCUAUGCUCCUUCAUACGUGUGUGUAUUUUACGAAGAAAUAUGAUCAAAGAAGGGUAGUAUUGUAAAUAAAAGCGAACAGCAGGGAAGUUUACAAAAAAUGACAAAGACUUAUACUCUUCUUAUUGUUGUAUCUACUUCUUCAGAGCGAAGCAAGAGACAAAGUACGUAUAUUGUAUUUGGUAAGGAAGAGGAAGAAGCAGAGGUUCUUGAGAGAUGGCCUGAAGAAGCUAACUUUAAAGAGUGCCAAUGUCAUAAAAGGGGUCCUAUGGCACACAGGGUUAAGUCAGGCGAAAGAAGAAAUUAAAAGAAAAGAUGCUAGUAGCUGAAUGAGAUGAAACACGUACGAAGGUCUUCAAUAUGUGAGAGUUGCUGUAAUGUAGAUAACCGAUAUAUAUCCAGUUAGAAUAGAUGAGUUGGUGAUGCGAGUGAGAUUGAGAAGAUGGAUUUCAUCUUUCCUUUUUCAACGUAUAGAAAUGGUAGAUCAUCGGUUUCAAAUGUGCGGUUUUAUUAAAAGCUAUCUACAUAACCCCAAACUUCAUAAUCUCUUCUUGUUUAAACAAACAUAUGAAUCAUAUCAUCAUGUCGGUUCGCAAAAUAAUCAAGCUCUGAGAUAUGAUCAUGUGAAGUUCAUUGAUUCCCUUGACUUAAAAAGUUCAUUGAUUCGAAUCAGUUAGGAUGUUCUUUUUUUUUUCCGGCAGACGGUAGAAAAUAAUUUAGCAAAAAAAAAAAGACGAGAAAAUAAAUAUGAUUUCAUGGACUUACACCAUUUUGCAGAUAAAAUAAAAUACACUCCACAAUCCAUUAGAAUAUUAUAUACAAAUUAGUACAGAAAAUACAUCAUGUGAUGUGUGAAACUACUGGUAAAUACACUAAAACAUGAAAAUAAUACGUCUAAAAGCAGUUUUAAGUUUUUAUUAAUUAACAUAAUAGGGCAGUUGUUGCUACUAUGAUAGUUUUGUUUAACCAAACUCAUCUCCUCCUUACAAACAAACUAAAUUAACCUAGAUUUAAGUGUCUAUUAUCUUAACUUAACUAAAUUUAAUAUAUACUUUUACUUUAAUAUUUAACAUAAGCUUUGACUAACAAACAAAACAAAGUGAAUCCACAUCUCUUUCUUCUUCGUCUUGAAUGCGCAAACAUUUUUUAUAGAAUAAAAUUUGUUUCUUCGAAAUUUUUAUUUUCAAGAAAAAUUUAAUCAACUAUUAUCUGUAUUAUUAUAUUUAUCUUUUGAGAUAUGCAAGCUAUAUUUCUAAUGGUGGUGUAAAGGUCAUGUAUACAACAAUGUCAAUGGCGAAGAUCGCUUCAACCAUGGUGUCUUUGUCUCCUCCUCUUCGUGCUCAGCUCCUACGUCCAAGAUGCCGUCGAUGUGAGGUCUCGUCCACCGGUGGUCAUUGCUCUUCGUCGCGUCUCGUCAACAUCGACUUCUCCACGUCUCAAGCCCACGACCUCUCCAUCUCCAAAUCAUGUUCUAUGGCGUGUCUCUGCUGCGUCAUAGCCGACUCUCCAUUGUCGUAAACGAGAUGGGACGAGAAGUGCGAUCUGCAACAUCAACGGAGGAGUAUCAUUUUUUUGCAAUUUUGGUCCUCUAGUUUACUCUUUCUUUCACAAUAUGCUUCAAACUUCCAAUCUGAUCAAAUUACUUCACAAAUUUACCCCAACAUUGAUGUACAUAUAUGGAUAACAUACUAGUAUGCACCGGUGUACAUGUGAGUCGUUGUACAAGUGGACAACGAUAUGUGUGUACAUUUGAAUGCUAUUUAAAUUUGCAAAUGUUAUAACUUACAAAUGUAUGUUAUAUAUCUUUAUGAAAUGCAUCAGGAAAACCAUUUGGUCAUGCUCCUCCCGGGUACCAUAAGCAUCUCUUCGAAACCAUUAUCAUCGUGGAACCAGAAACAAGGGAUGUCCGUUUCAUGUACAUAUGAAUCAUUGUAAAUAUGGAUAGUGUAAUUGUAUGUACAACAUAUGAUAUACAUAUGAAUCAUUUAUUUUUUCAUUUUUUAAUGAGUGGUAUUUUCGUAAAAUGAGAUAUCAUAUAUGUACACAUGAGCAGUUUACACAUCGAUGUACAUAUAUAGAUAACAUACUAGUAUACACCGGUGUACAUGUGAGUCAUUAUACAAAUGGACAACGAUAUGUGUGUACAUUUCAAUGCUAUUUAAAUUUGCAAAUGUUAUAACUUACAAAUGUAUGUUAUACAUUUUUAUGGAAUGCAUCAGGAAAAACAUUUGGUCCUGCUCCUCCCGGGUACCAUAAGCAUCUUUUCAAAACCAUCAUCAUCGUGGAACCAGAAACAAAGAAUGUCUCGUUUCAUGUACAUAUGAAUCGUUGUACAUGUGGAUAGUGUAAUUGUAUGUACAGCAUAUCAUGUACAUAUGAUUCAUUUAAUUUUUAAUUUUUUAAUAAGUAGCAUUUUCGUAAUUUUAACUUCAUCUUCUCUAAAAUCAGUUAGGGGUUUCUGCAAUUUCCCUCUAUUGCCGCCAACCAUUAUUUCCACAUUAAUUAUCAGUUUUUUUUCUUGUGUAGUAUACCUUUAAACCUUUAGAAAUAUCGUAUAAGACACAAUUUCAAGCUCUAAAUGAUUCUAUUUUUUCAAAAAAAAAAACUAAAUCUUGCUUCAUCUUUUUAUUAUUGUCACAUCACGAUGCGGAUGAGUUGCAGAGCACGCUGUGAAGGAGAAAGCUCUCCGACAGCUUCCGGCAUCACCGCUGUUUUUAUUAUAUGAUUACACCAUUGUUUUCAUGGUUACAAAAUAUAGGAAAGAAGAUGAAAUACUGAAUAAUUCCACUUAAUCAUAUCUAAAUUAUACUUUAGUUAGAAAAUAAUAAAAUAAGUUAGAAGAAAGUGUCUAAUGAAAAAUAACUGCACUAGAGUGUAAUAAAAAACUUAAAACUGUUCUAGAGUGAAAAUAACUCCUAAAAUAUUUGGUCGUGCGUAAUCAAUUUAUAAUGUAAGUCGGUCCAUCCCAUCAGUUCGGAGUCAUCUCCCAAAGUACAUUAUAUUGAGCUGUGGUUGGACAACCUAAUGGCUUAACUCUUAAGCAUGGAGGUCCACUCCGUCUCACCUAGAAUGGUUCUAAACUUACUAAUAGUGCUUAGAAUAUUUUUUACUUUCUUUUAAUGUAAUAUAAUACUCUAUCCGAGAGUUUCGGACGGAAAACAUAUGUUUCUUGAUAUUUUUGAAUGAUGACACGUAAAAAUACGUAGAAAUACUGUUACAAAAUAUUACUAUAUUACAUACUAUUUUCACAAAUUAAUCUUCACACCAUAUAUGAAAGAUAUGCAAACAAAAAAUUAUGAUGGUUAUAAAUAAUCUUUUUAAUCUGUUCAUUUCAAAAUGAUUCAUGUUUUACCGUUUUACAUACGUUAAUAAAAUAUAUUAAAUUUUAAUUAUAAUUAUAGUUUCAAUUUUGUGAUUAAUUACUUUUCAUAAUUUUUAGCCAAAAAAUUAAUAAACAUAAGUAAUUUUAAAAUUUUACAUUUUACUAAUUUACCUAAUAAAAUAUAGGGAAACUAUAUAUUAAACUAUGAAAAAUGUAUUUCAAUUUUUUUUUUCAAAAAUAGAAUCGUUUUGAAACUUAGGGAAUAUUGAUUAACAAAUCAUUAGAGCACAGUUUACUGAUUCACAUAUAGUUAAAUCACUGUUUUACUCAAAUUUGACUCAUUUGAUAGCCAUCGGAAGACUAAUUUAUGUCUGAUCGUUAAUAUCGCCUACUUGGAUUCAGCGUAAAAAUAGCCUUGUCACAAAUCUAAGUAAUUCACUAUUGCGGAUAUGUAAAUAUUUAUUUUGGAUAAAAAUAUAAAUACUUAAAUAGUCUCUUGUUUUUUUGUCACGUUAAUUGAAAUUAUCGAUCAGUUGUUUACUGGAUAUAUACAUUUUUGUUACUCCGACAUUCCCAUAACCGACUCUAGAAUCUAUACCCAACUCUAACAAACCACAACACAAAAAGUACAAAGAAGAACGUCAAAAAGUACAUUGUUUCACAAAGUUAAUUUCAUUUCUCGAGGUAGACAGACGCAAUGCUACUAUUAAUUUCUUUGAUUGGUAACAGAAACUCAUCAUUAACAAUAACAAUGGAAAAGUCUUGGUCAACGUUCGUCAACCACGACCCUAACUAAAGUUUGGCAUUGCCAUUAUAUUGUCACUAAACAUUUCGAGCAACUAUAAAUCACAAAAUCACACUCAUUCCAUUUCUAAACAAGACUUGAUUUAUAACCAAGUCAACUACAUGAUUCCAUAUCCAAUGCAGUUAGCUUAAGUGUAUGCUUCCUAUACCAAAUAACAACGGAUUAAUUUUGCUCAAAAAAAACAACGGAUUAAUUAGCGGUUAUGAUUCGUAAUCAUUAAAUAUUUAACCUAAAAAAUUGUUUGUUUUAGUUUGCAUUUAAAAAUAAAUGGGAUUAUGGGUUGAGGACGGGAACAGAAGAUAAUCAAAUUAACCUAAUGACGACAAUUACGAGAAGGGUAUCUCUAAGAUCGAGUAAGAACACAAUGCUCCAUAAAGACAUUUUUUUUAUUAAUCAAUGGGAAGGAAGGUACACCACUUUCAAUCUCUGAGGUGUGUUUAUUUGUAGUUUUAGUUUGAAAAAAAUAAUAAAAAGUAUAAUCUCUGUUCGUCUUCAUUGCUUGUCUGCAGAUCCGUGUUCCGUUGCGUUUGAUUUUCUAUUUUUCUUUCCAUUUUUGCAUAUUUUAAAGAAGUAAUUCGAAUAAAUAGAUUAGUAAAAAAAAUAGAGCGCUCCAUAUUUUGUCUUUCCAUGACAUCAUUUUGUCUUGUAAUUCAGUACUUCACGAGGUUGUGUCAGAUCUUUUUUUUUACAGAUAAUUUUGCACUGCUCUAAAAUCUAGACACUGCGUAAAAGAAAUAUACAGUAAAUACAUACUAGUAUUACUCUCUCUAUUCUAAAAUGUAAAAUGUAAGAUGUUUAAAAUAAUUUUUGUGUUCUAAUAAAUAAGAUAUUUUCAUCUUUCUAAAUAAUUUUAAGUUUAUCAAAAACUGUGUAGCCAAUCAAAUUUAAUAAUUAUAUUUUGUAAUUGGUUAAGUAAUUUUUAUUUUAUAAUUUUAAUGAUAUUUUUUAGAUAAAAAGUAAUUUUCUUAAUAAGUGGUACUACGCAAAAUUUUUAUAUUUCAGAACAUAAGGAGUACUAUUAUUUUAGCUUAAGGUUUAUUAUCUCUUCUUUUGUUUUUAUCAAAUAACUAGGUUCUUUUCCCGGGCUACGCCCGGGUUAUUUAUUUAUUUAGAACGGUUUAAUGUGAACUUUUUUUUUUUUUUUUGUAACAUCGGUUUAAUGUGAAUAUACCAUCUUUUUGUUGGUUGAAUGUUACAUAUAACUUUUUUUUGCAUUUUGUUAUGUAACAAAAAAAUUUUUUUUUUUAGUUUUCUAAAAUAUCAAAACUAAAAAUUUGUGUUCCACGUGAGUUUAACACAUUUUCUGAACCUAAAAAGGAAUUAUUAUAUUGAUCAAAGAGUACUAUACGAAUUUUAGAUCAUAUUUUUUUUAUAAAAAAAAACUCAUUUGCACCCAAACGGAAAUCUCAAAACUAUAUUUGAUUGCAUCCAAACAUCAAAAAUGGAGAAUCUACCGUAAUAAGGAGUAUA